GCAGUAUUCUAACUGUGCUAAGGUAGCAUAAUCAUUAGUCUUUUAAUUGGGGACUGGUAUGAAUGGCUUAACGAGAAAUUGACUUUUUUUGUUACAUAAAUUGAACUUAAUUUUUUAGUGAAAAAGCUAAAAUUUUUCAAAAAGACGAGAAGACCCUAUAGAGUUUUAUAUUUUGUUUUAUUUUUUUUUAUUAGAUUUUAUAAAAAAUAAUAAUAAUAAAUUAUUUUGUUGGGGCGACAUUAAGAUAAAUAAAACUCUUAUUUUUAUUAAUUUUAUUAAAAAUAUAUUUUGAUCCUUUAUAAAAGAUCAUAAGAAAAAAUUACCUUAGGGAUAACAGCGUAAUCUUUUUUGAGAGUUCUAAUCGACAAAAAGGUUUGCGACCUCGAUGUUGGACUAAAAUUUAGGCAAGGUGCAGUAG
rnacentral:rRNA from 1 species